GAACGCAUAUUGCGCCCUCUGGUAUUCCGGAGGGCAUGCCUGUUCGAGCGUCAUUUCACCACUCAAGCCUCGCUUGGUAUUGGGCAACGCGGUCCGCCGCGUGCCUCAAAUCGUCCGGCUGGGUCUUCUGUCCCCUAAGCGUUGUGGAAACUAUUCGCUAAAGGGUGUUCGGGAGGCUACGCCGUAAAACAACCCCAUUUCUAAGGUUGACCUCGGAUCAGGUAGGGAUACCCGCUGAACUUAAG
rnacentral:misc_RNA from 1 species